rnacentral:rRNA from 1 species
UCGUAAACCUCUGUCAGAAGGGAAGAACCGGUUAAGCGCUAAUAUCGCUUAGCCCUGACGGUCCUUCAGAGGAAGCACCGGCUAACUCCGUGCCAGCAGCCGCGGUAAUACGGAGGGUGCGAGCGUUAAUCGGAAUCACUGGGCGUAAAGCGCGCGUAGGCGGUUUUGUAAGUCAGAUGUGAAAGCCCUCGGCUCAACCGGGGAAUUGCAUUUGAAACUGCAGAACUUGAGUACUGGAGAGGAUGGCGGAAUUCCAGGUGUAGGAGUGAAAUCCGUAGAUAUCUGGAGGAACACCAGUGGCGAAGGCGGCCAUCUGGACAGUAACUGACGCUGAGGUGCGAAAGUGUGGGGAGCAAACAGGAUUAGAUACCCUGGUAGUCCACACCGUAAACGAUGGAUACUAGGUGUCGGGGUUUUUGACUUCGGUGCCGCAGCUAACGCAUUAAGUAU